rnacentral:tRNA from 1 species
AGCCCCGUGGUGCAGUGGUCCAACAUUUGGGGUUUUGGUCCCCACGACCCAGGUUCGAAUCCUGGCGGGGCUACCA